rnacentral:lncRNA from 11 species
AUCCUUCGGUAGAGUUCGGGCAAGAUCGACUUGAAGCUUUGUAGUUCAUAACGCGCAAACGGCCCACAGGUGCAUCGGUACGUAUGUUGUAUACAUGCCAGACCAAGUGUAAUCGCCUCUUAUUUCGUGCGAAAACAGAAGAUGAAAGGAAAGGAGAAGAAGGGUCAUAAAUAGAGAAAAGGAGAGAAAUGGACAAAAGUUUGAUCAAUCUUGGAAAAAUUCAUAGAAUUUCAUCUUGAAGACCCUUGGACGAUUGUAAUGAAGAUCAUUGUAGUAGAACAAUGAAGAAAGAAUCUUAUGGUGAAUAUUGGAAGAUUUAUAAGAUGCCAAGAUAAUUUGUUGUUAAGGGAAUGAAAAGAAAGAAAAUAAAGGAUAAGUCCGAAAUAUGCUACCACAAAUCAAGAAAUUUAAUUUUAGAAAAACAACAAUUUAUUCUUCUUGUUUCUGCACUUAAAAGUAAUAAUUGCCCUGCAUAAUUUAAUAUAUUUCAAUUAAAUUGAAUUUUUAUCGUUAACAACUUAAAUCGAUAAAAUCACAUAAUUUAAUAAAAAUUUCGUGUAAAUUAAAUGUUUUAAUGAGAUAAAACGUACAAUUUGAAAUUCAUCGAUUCGGUUAAACUAAACUUUGCUAGGUGCAAAUUUCUACCUGGACGUGUCAUAAAUAAGGGAUUUUAAAGAUUCCAACGGUUUAAGAGAAAGUAAAAGAACAAACUUUUGAAGAAAUUGCUUGAUCACCCACCGCUAUUGAAAAUACUUGCCCCUCUUCUGGGCAAGGCUAGGUAAAAAAAGAGCCUCAAAUUCCAUUGGCAAUUUAAAUUGAUAUAUUCGAAAAAUUGGCCAAUCAACGCGCUUUAACAAAAUAUAAGGUCAACCUGAUAUAAUAUAAGAUAAACCCGAGCGAGGUGUCGAACAAAAGCAAAUCAACAAUCGAAGGAAUCACUUCAAAUCGGAGAUUAGCAUCGCUCGAGAAUUAUUCGAAUGGUUCUUCAUCAUCGAUAGAUACACAAAUUUUACUUUGCAAGAAUGUACAGAUUCUACUGAAAAAUUGACAAGCAAAAGUUGAGUUCAAUUUGUUCAGAACGGACGAAACGUGCUAUGGAUUGCAAGCUUGAACCACCAUCGUCCAUAUUCGUUAAGCAUAAUAUUCUAAUAAUGAGGAAAAAAUGGAAAAAACAAUGAUCUCUAAAAAUUAUAUUGGAGAUGUGUAUAAAGAAUCUUAUCUUUACUGAGACGGGUGCCACGACAAAAGAAAAAUUUUAUUAGAAAUAAGAAUGAUUAACCUACAUUUUCAAAAUGAUUGUAGGUGAAGCAAAAGAAAAUAAAUUAUAUAUUAAUAAUUCUCUACCUCCGUGUUAUCAUCAUUAUUUAAUUAAUCGUAGACAUCUUUAAAGAACUACCACUUCAUACGCGAAGAUCACGCCACGACAAAAGUGAUGAUCUUGUGACAAUGCAUUUUCAAAAUGAGUGUAAUUCAAGCAAAGGAAAAUAAAGAUUUUCUACCUCCGUAUUAUCAUCAUUAUUUAAUUAAUCGCAUAUCUGAGAAUGUAAGAUGAAAAUUACGCUAUGAUAAAAGAAUAAUUUUACGGAAUAAUUAUUAUGAUCAAUCUCACAUUUUCAAAAUGAUCGUAAUUCAAGCGAAAGAAAAUUAAGAUUUUCAUCAUGUUUAUAAUGCUAUAAUAAAAUAAUUAUUUAAUUAAUCACGUGAUAACAUCUUUAUUGCAAAGAAUUGCCAUCUCAUUCGGGAAGAGUGAGAAAAAUGAAGAAAAUUGCCACGAUACUAGUAUGAUCAAUCUAAAAGUUUAAAGAUGAGAUCGAAAAUCUACCAUCACUCUAUCAUCAUUCGUUGCCAUCAACUAUCAUCUAUCCUAGUUUAAAUCGAAGAUUAAAUCAAGUCUUAAUUCCUGUGACUUUACUUUAUUCGAGAAUAAUUUUUUACUCGAUAAAUUAUUAUUUUGCGAAGUAAAUUCUUAAUUUCUAAUUCUUAUUUAAAAUGGAUCAAAAAAGAAUUGGAAAUAAUUGAAAUUUAUAUAAGAAGAUAUGAAAAAAGAAUUCGCAUCGCAAGGGUUGUAUGUUAAUUAAAUAACGUAUGUUAAUUGAAUAAUCCAUGUCACAAAUUAUUAAGAGAUCGAUGAAUAUCUUUGAUUAAGAUCGAGACAUGGAUAUGAAUCUAUAAAUCUUAAAUAUAUGUAUUUAUAAAUAAAUCUUGAUUAUUUAGAUUGUUCUCAAUCAAGAUUAACACGAAUUGUUUGAAUUGAAUCAAAAAGAAGAAUGUUCUACAGAAAUUUGAUCAGCGUAAAUUCAACAUCUCGCCCAAAAUAUACAGAAUUGCAAACUCAAAUACACAAAAGAUACACAAGCUUCAUCCUGAUUCAUCGCUUCGUUUUGUAUGAUUCUAAUUAUGUAUAAGGGAGAGAUUUCAUUUUCAUCGACAAUCUUGACUACAUUUAAAAAUGAUUGCAGUUCAUACGUUUUACAAAUGUUUGAUCAUAGUUAAUAAAUUAAAAUAAUAAUUCUAUAAAAUUAAUGCAAUUUUAUUAAAUAUUCAGAUUUUACGAACAACAACUGAAUAAUAGUAAUUCAACAAUCAACCAGAAAGAUGCCACAGAUUGGAUAUGUAAAGCCAUCUUCUUUACGAUUUCUAUUAUAGAAAUUUUACUAUUAUAGAAAAUGAAUAUCUAAUUUUAUCACGAGUGACAAGUGAAAAUCUUGAUCAUAAUGGGACGAUUUUCUAUCAACAGAUCAACUUAAAUAACAUUUAAAAUGUUUUUGAGAAAAGAUUGGACAAUAAAUAUUUAACUUGAACAAAAUGUGAUAUAAUAGACAAUAUAAUGAUACAGUUAAAUCGUGAACUCGACAAAGAGUUUGCGACUUCAUUCUACAUAAGGAUAAUGUUCUAAAUAACAGAUAAUCAUUUUAUCUGUAUAAAUAAAAAUCUCUAUCACAAAGAAGAUUUUCACUGUAAUCAGUAAUCAUUUGAACAUGGCAUAUUUUGUGUUAGAAAAUUAAAGGAAGAAUAUUAAUGACAAUUAAUUUGUCCAUAUUAUCACAAAUUUCAAUUAUUCAGAAACAAACACAGAAGAUUCAAUUAUUUGUCAAAAAAAUAAUAUGGACGGUUUGUGAUUGCAAAUUUUAAUCAUCAAGAUCCUUGGACGAUUUUAUAAGGAUGAUUUUUUUUACAAUAUUUAAAGUCAUCCUUUAAUUUAAUUAACAUGUUUCCAAUUUGAUUAAUUUAAAUUUCUAUUUUUCGCAAAACACGUACCGAGUGAAAACCUCAUAAAAGAUUUUAUGGAUAUCUUGACUACAUUUAAAAAUGAUUGUAAUUCAGAUUGGAAGAAUGGCAUUGAAUACCUUUGAAAUAUGAAUAUAUAAAUCAUCUUAUAAUAAUAGCCUGAAUUGAAAUUUAUAUGAACUUUCUAAUUUUAUUGAAUAUUCAGAUUCUGAAAAAAGAUUGAUUGGAUUUUUAAGCAAAAUUAAACAAUCUGUUCGAAAUGUGUCAUGGGCAAGACGUGCAACGCAUGGCAAAUUUAUAUUAUUAACUGCAUGGAGUUACAUACAUUUCAUUAUUACGACUUCAUUAUGUAGAACAAUUACGAAUCCAUAAAGAAAUUUACGAUGAAUAAAAAUCAUGUUAUUCAUUUCCAUGGAUCGGUAUAAAAUCUUAAUAGUUUUUACAAAAGCAAAUGUUCCAAUGAACAUACACGACUGAGAAUGUUAUAAUUGAUUAAAAUUGACAUCCCCAAAUUAGAAUCUGAGCUAUCAAUGUGCCAAACAUCAGGGGAAGCUACGGAAAAACUUGAUAAUAACAAAAAACAUUUUUCCAUAAAAAAAAAGCACAUUUUGAUAUUCUUCUAUAAAAGGACCAUUAUAUAUGGAUAUUAAUAUUUCUAUAGAUUUUCUUAUUUGGAUAUUCAACAUUUUUCUACAAAAUCAUUAAAUAUCGUGAUAUAUGAUAUGAUGAUAUAUCUUGUAUGGUUACGACAUGCUUUCAUCAUUGAAAUGUGUAAUUGAUUAAAAAAUCAAUUCACAAUUCCCAAAUUAAAAUCCAUUGUAAAAUCUUAAUGAAGAAUAUUGUUCAACAACUAUAACAAGAUAGUUACGACAUCAAUUCUUCUAAAAAAGGAGGAUUAGAUAUGAAUAUUAAUAUUUCUAUGAACCUAUCAGUUUGGAUAUCCAAACUUUCUGUAUAAAAAGUACCAGAUAUAAAUAUGGAUAUGAAUAUCCUGCAUAGCAACGAUUGUGAAGAUUUCAUUGUUGAAAUUUGCUGUCACAAUUGAUUAAAAAAUCGGUUGACAUUCCCAAAUUAUAAUCUACAUUAUCAGUGGGCUAUUAUCAAAAUUGUUAAUGCAAAACAUUUUUUCAACAAUUUACAGUAUCAAUGUGCUAUUGUGGAAAUCAUUAAUGCAAAACAUUUUUCCAACAAAAAAAAGAAAAAACAAUUUGAAUAUCCAAAGUAUCAAUUCUUCUAUACAAGGAUCAUUAGAUAGAUGAAUAUUAUCUCUAUAAAUCAGUUUGGGUAUUCAACAGCUUUUUGUAUAAAAAGUAUUAGAUAUAUGAAUGAAUAUGCAGCAUAGAAAUGAUUGUGAAGUUUUUAUCAUUGGAAUUUGCUAUCGUACAAUUGAUUAAAAAAUCGAUUGACGAUCCCCAAAUUAUAAUCUAUACUAUCAGUGCACCAAAAUUAGGCACUAUUAUUGAAAUUAUCAAUAAAAUAUUUUUCUAACGAAAGAAAGAGAAAACAAUUUGAACAUCCAAAGUCAAUUCUUCUAUAAAAAGAGCAUUGGAUAUUAAUAUAUAAUUUAAUUUUAAAAUAUAUACUUUUUAUAUACAUUUUACUUUCAAA